AAAUCCACAAAUGAGAGGGGGCGUGAUGGGUGGAGCCUAUAAAUAUAUAGUGUACUGAAUUGCAACUGAGCUGUUCAGCGCUGUGCUUUCAGAAACUUGGGAUUUCGCUUGUCUUUUUUUUAAAAUGCCAGCAGUUGCAGCGAAUCAGUCCGAUGUGCAUGAACCAUCUCCUCUGCAAAUCAAAGGUCACAACAUGAAAUCCAAAAGGGUUGCCAAAUCAAAGCAGGACGGUUGGAACAGGUUUCGCGAGCUGCUUCUGGCAGUCAGCGUCUCGGCUUUUUUAGACCGAUGUCUGGAGGAGAAAUACGGGAUUCCAAAACCGCGGCGGUGAUCAGCGCGGAGAAAAUCGCGGCACUUGUACAGAUGAGGAACUAUACGCUGCACACAAGAGCCCGAGAACGAAAAGGUUCAGCGGUAAACGAGGAGAAAGAGAGAGAGAGAGUGAGAUUCUCGAACACCCGCGUAAAGGUCAGUUGGGAAAUGGUUGGAAGAGGAAGGUCAGGGAACAGGAAAGAGUGAGGCCCUCACUGCCUAUUAGAGAGACUGAGGGAGCAGAGGACAGUAAUCACAGCAUCUCGGGCUCUGUGUGUUGGGUACCCUUCCAGCAUUGAAGAGUGAAGCGCCAUUUCUGACACCAUUUCUGCAUUUACUUGCUUUCUCUCCAGAUGCAUGCCUCUUUGUUUGCUGGUAUGUUAAAAACAAACUCAAGGCAAAUAUAUUAUCAACGUACAUGUGUUACCUUGAGAUUCAUUUUCUUGCAAUCACAACAAAAAAAAAAUCCAGUCUUGAGGCCAUUCAAACUGCCUUCAUUUGUUAUAUACAGAAAGUACAGCAAAAGAUUUGACAGAUGACAUUUGUCACCCGAUCCUCUGCAUUUCCACGUAUUGAAUUAUUACUGGACUAAUCGUUUCCUUCUCAUAACUUUGUUCUACCUCAAUGUAUUGUAUAACGAAUGAUUCUGUACAGUAUAAUAAAACAAUAUGCUAGACAAGAAUUGUAAUGUAUCUGUGUCAAUAAUAAACAAUUUAU